AGACCCUGGAGUGAGUGGAGCUGGAGGGAGGGAAGCUCCCUGGACCCUGGGUGCAGCAGGCAGUGAGGGAAGCCAGGAAGGAGAUGCAGAGGGUGCCACCAGGGAGGGAGGAGACCUCCAGCACGCUUGUCUCUGCCUUCAGGUGGAGCCAGCACUUCUGGGGAAACGGAGCUAUCAACAGUAACAAAGCCUGCUACCAGUCUCGGCGACAUGAGCCCGAGGGACAAUCCAUGUGACGCGGCACCAGGGAUAGCUGCGCUGAUCUGGCAAUGUCUCAGGGCAGCUUGAGUGCAGAGAGCUCGAUGGAGAGCGGCAGAGGAACAACUCGAGAAACUCUUUCCAAUGGCCCUUUUCUUUUUCUGGAGGGAACAGAUGGUGGCGAGAGUUGGGCCUGGGUCAAGGGAAGUUUUUAUAUUCGUUUGUUCUGUUCUAAGAAGGAAGCUGCAGCAACAAGUGCCCUGCUGGUGGAUGAUGCAGGAGAGAGAGAAAAAGCUGCUGAUUGGGGGAGAGGGGGCCGCAUGCUCAAGCCGUGUGCGUGGUCUGGCCCAGUGGAGGCGCUGAUAAAGGGGUUGCAGUGUGGGUGGGCCAGAGAGGACCAGGGAGGGCAGGUGGCUGGCAUCCAGGGGAAACUGCAGGGCUGCAGGUGGCAGAAAGUGACACAGCCUGGGGCAACCUUCUCUGUCUGCUCAGGGAGGAGGGAGGGAGUGAUUCAGCAAAAUUUAGGAGGACAAGCAGGAGGCGGAAAGUUGUCUGACUGCUUGGAAGCUGACUGCACAUAGUCAUCAGAGGGACAAAGUCUUGUUAUAUGGUCCAGGCCUUGGGUACCACGUGCAGUCCCUCACCCUUCCGCUCUGGCGGAACUAAUCAGCUUUCCUGUGGCACACCCUUCCACCAUGAUGCUGCUGCCUCAGAGCCGUGGACUGAAUCUCCUGAACUGCUAUGUGGAAGCAGAUGCCCAGAGGAGCCCACCUGCUGCCAACCCUUUGACUUAGGAAGCAAUCGCCCAGCUGCAGCCCUGGGCUGAGAGGGAGUGUGCUGGGCUCUCGCCUGGGGUCACUGGUGGCGACAGCAUUUCCCUGAAGCACCAGGUGAUAUCCAGGCGAUGGAUGAGGCAGCUCUUUCUCUCCUGGUGGGUAGCAGCCCUCGGUGGGGAAGGUGUCAGAUUCCCCCACCCUCGCUCCUUUUCAGCUGGUUGCCGUAGGCCUGCUGCUCCAGUGGGAAAGUCUGUCCACCAGUCUCCUCCCCCGUGCCAGGGACAGCAAAACAAGAUGCGGAAAACAAAGCCCAGAGAAGUGACAUAAUUUACCCAGAGAUGCACAGCUAGGAGACACACACCUGGAACUCAAACACAGUAAAGUGAUUCUCCAGCCUUUUGAACCGUGGAACCACAUUGCCUUCCUUCAGCAAAACAGCCUAACCAUGGCUGCCUUCUAUGGAGUCUUUGGGUCUUUGAUGAAUAUGUGAGAAAGUCACAAAAAGACUUCAAAAUGCCACCCAAGUAUUGUCCUUUGGAGUUGGGCCUCUGAUGUUCUCCCUCACACCCUGUUCUCAAGCCACAUCAAACCCCUCAGUCCAUCUUUACUUGCCACAGGGCCUUUGUGUGCCCUGUUUCCUACUCUGACAGCCAAACUUCUGCACUGCCUUGAGGUAGUCCUGCCCAUUCUGAAACCAUGGGUGAUAUGUUUCUUCCUUUCUUAGAGCAUGAUCGGAAUACUCCAUUCCAAUUUGGGCCAACCUUAUCAGCCCGUGUUGAUUGGAGCAUUGGAUAGGUGCAUAGGUUACAGAUUCAGACUCCCUGGCCCAUACUUGGCCUCUACCACUCACCACUUAUGUGUAACCAUGCUGAAGUGAUUUUACUCUUGGUGCCUUAGUGUUUCCAUCUGUAAAAGGGGUCUGAUAGUGGUGUUACUUGCUCUCACAGGCUGUUCUAAAGAUGCAGGAGAGGUUCCUGGAAAGCAGGGUUAAAAGAUUGUCUGGACUUCCCUUACCACCGACCUGCCUUAUCCCCUCAGGUGUGGUCACGGAAAUAAGGAUGCUGUUGCAGAAUCUCCUCUUUUGAUGCUUCUUGGAGGCCUGGAAGAGUGACCUGGCCAGGGUCCUGACUGUGUAGAUUCUCUCUGAAAGGAAUCCCUAGGUAAACACUUCAAGGGUCACAGAAACGAGUGAUUCUCAGAUCUGGCAGGUCCCAGACUUCAGGAUAUAGUCUAAUCUCACAGAGCACACUUCGGAGCAGGGGGUGGAGAUGAGGUCUUCUCCAGCCAACACACAGUGGACUCUGCACGUGGGCCAGCAGUGUAGUCCAGUCCACACGCACACACACACACACACACACACACACACACACACACACCCAGGCCGUAGUCCCUGCCUCAUUAAGUGUCCCCUGGUCUUUGCCACAAGAACAGUACUGUGCCCUGUUUUUGUUUUGUUUGACUUUGCUUUGCUUGAGAUAUAUUUUUUUUUGUCUUUUUCAUUUUUACCGGUACCGGGGAUCGAACUCAUGACCGCCUGCUUGCAAGGCAGGUGCUUAUGCCGCUGAGCUAAACCUCCAGCCCCUUUGCUUGAGAUAUUAACUGUGUUCUCUUUGGCCUGAGAUCUGGGGUCGUCUCCCUGGCUACAAAAGAACAGAGUGCUGAGUUAAAGGCCACCCUGGCUCUUUGAGAUGACUGGUGUGAAGCUGUGUGUGUGUGUGUGUGUGUGUGUGUGUGUGUGUGUGCGCGCGCGCGCCCAUACCUGAAUCCCAUCCAGUGAUUCCCCACCACACAUGCACACAUGCAUGUGCACACACACACACAUGUGUGCUCACACAGGCACACUCAGCCAGGCACACACCCUCUUUGUCACAGCCACCUCUGCUCUGCGUCUCUGCCAUCAUCUCCUUCUGUGCUCUCCAGCUCUUCUGUUUGCCUUGUGAAAACUUCGGAUUCUUUCCGAACCUACCGACUGCCGCAUUCCCACGGUGUCCCCAUUCCUUUCUGGUUCCUGAGCCUCCCACUGUCUCUAGCCCAGCAUGCAGGAUGCCCAGAGAUGCUCCACCCUGUAAAUUGAGGGGCGAGGUCACUGCCGCCAGCAAGGUUUGCAGCUAUGGGGUUGAACUUCACUCUGUCCACUGCUGGGAGACGGAGGCUGUGGCUCUGGGGUGCCAUCCCCUCAACCGAACUCUGGGCCUGAGUCUGUGAUGUCCUCCUACACCUCUCAUUCCCAUUCCUGCCUCCUCUCUGCUUACUGACUCCUCUCCUUCUUAGAUCCUCCCAGAUGUCCCCUCCUCUGGGCAGCCUUCCCAGAUCCCCAGUCUUAGCAGUGCCACCUUGGGUGUCACAGAGGCCUCAGCUUCCCUACAGCAGCGCUCAGUGUACCAGAUCAUAAUUGCCGAACGGUGGCUCGCCGUGGCUUUCUCCCCACACUGUUCCAGAUCUGGAAUACAGGAGGCCUGCAACUCAUCUUUUUUUUAUUAAGUGAGUGAUGGAAAUAACUGUUUUCCCCAGUGAAACAUGAUUUGUGUGAUUCUGGGUGAUUUUCCAGAAGGUUUCCCCAGUCCGCCUCUGGCCCCAGAGGCGGCCACCCCAGCUCAUAGCCUCCUGGUUCACGCUGCAGCCAUCAGUCGCACUCAACUGGUGAGGAAGUGGCUGAGUGUUCCAUCUUCCCGGUGAGCUGGGUUCAGAGCACAAAACCUCCAUAGGUUUGGCAGGCAGAGGGGGCUGUGUUCUAGGGGCCAAGCUGCUCCUCUAAAAUGGUAAGACUGCCACGGCCCUGCUCCCUGAGCUGACAGAAGCCGGAGAGCGGGCUCCACACCGUUCUCUCUGCUGGGGGCCGUGGGAGGCCACAGGCCAUCGGUUUGUGUUUCAGCAGCUCCUUUGGGCCUCACAGACCAGGGAGGGUUUGGUCUUAGGAGAAAUUUUUCUUUUAUGGAAUCAGGCAAGGUUUCAGCGUGUUGCUAUCCAGACACUGCCUUUUCUAGAGACCUUUCAUGAUGUAUUUUUACCUAAGAACUGCGUCAGAACCUGGCAGGUUGUAUUUUCCAAGAAAAAAUGGUUGUGCAAGGAAGGUAGAAGGAAGCUGUGGGCGUCCCGAGGUGUGACCAUAAGUGGGCGCAGUCUCUUCCUGGAGCACCCUCUCCUUGCCCUCGCCUCCCACCCGCAGCGUCUCUCUGUGUCUGCCCCCUUGUGAAGACCCUCUGUGUUGCUACGGGGAAUCCACCUCGGCAGGCUGAGAGGCCACCAAGGGGAGCCACGCCCCAGAGCUCUGGCUGCAGUCAGUGCUCAGCGCCGACGAGGAGAUGUGGUCCACACAGGGAGGCGUCCAGGUUCCAGCUGCGACGCCUGCCCCUGAGGAACAGAGACAGGCCAUUCCCACCUGGCUCAGCUUGGAAUUCCAGGCCCUCAGAUCCUCUGAGCAGCCACAUGGAGCCUAGAUUUGAGGUAGUUGGUUAGGAAACCACAGUAAAAGAAAUAAGAGCAAGCCACAGAUACAUGGAGAUACAAAGAAACCGUGACUGCUUAGGGACUGGUUACGGAAUCACCAACCUCGUACCUCUGUGUAAGCAAGGGCUUUGAAGACAGAACUCAUCAGCUAAGCGGGACUCUCCACGGUGACCACCUUAAAGCCCUCCGGUGAGGAGUCACCCCAUCUGAUAGGUGAAGAAACAGAAGCCCAGAAAGACCCACCAAUUGAUUAUGCAGAGACUCACUCACAUCCAGGUGUACAAAAUACUGGCCCUGGGAUCUCCAUAAUAAUGUGCGUGUUCUCUGCUGGCGAGAACAGUAAA